CUCUAAACUCCUGCCUCCCAACCCAGGAAUCAGAGCCUGAGACAGACAGAUGCUUCAUUCCUAUAUGGGGUGGUAUUCCUGCCAUGGGUCCUGGGCUUCUCCACUGGGUGGCCCUUUGUCUCCUUCGAGCAGGUCGUGGGGAUGCCAUGGUCAUCCAGAACCCAAGAUACCAGGUUACCCAGUUGGGAAAGCCAGUGACUCUGAGUUGUUCUCAGAAUCUGAACCAUAAUGCCAUGUACUGGUACCAGCAGAAGCCAAGUCAGGCCCCAAAUCUGCUGUUGUACUACUAUGACAAAGCUUUGAACAAUGAAGCAGACACCCCUGAUAACUUCCAAUCCAGGAGGCCGAACACCUCUUUCUGCUUUCUUGACAUCCGCUCAUCAGGCCUAAGGGAUGCAGCCACGUACCUGUGUGCCAGCAGCAGAGACACAGAGCUGCAGUGCUAUCUCCCCUCUGUUCAUAAACCUCAUCGUUUCCCAGAUCCAGGUGCUUUCUCUAGGACUCCCCCCACACCAACUCUUACAACAAUAGGAAGUGGGUUUGUGGCUGUCAAUAUCUCAUCUGUAAACAGCAGUUAGGCGCAAAUCAAUAAGAACCAUUGACAGUUAUGCCAAGAGUGGAAAAAUGGUUACACAUGCCUGGCAUUCAGCUUGCGGUAUUUCCCAGGAUCAUAUUGAGAACACAUGCUGUCCUUUUCAGAAGAUGAAUAGAAGCCUUUUCUUUCCUCUUUGAUCGUUUUAAUCUAAGUCAGAGGCUUAGAAAUAUAAGAGGUGAUAUGUGAAGGAUUAUGGAGACCCAAGGUCAUAUAAACUCAAGUCUCUGGCAUUUGAUUUGAUUAAACCUUAUAGGGUUUCAUACUCCUGGAUAAUCCACAUGUUUUUAGCCCAGACCUGGAGCAACUACCUCAUUAAUGGGAGAAUGAAAACACAAGUAUCCCAAGAUAAAAAUCUCUCAGGGAAAAAAAAAAAACACAUUGAAGAGAGAGAGAGAAAAAAAGGGAAGACCAUACAUUCAUCUGCUCCUAUCUGGAGUUAGAGGUACUAUUGUGAUGGCCAAAUGGAAACCAUAAAUAUAUAAAGAAAUCAAACUGAAAAUAGAGCACAUUUGGAGAUGAAGAUCAUGGAGCCAUUGGUAUAGAAGAGAGUAAUAAUGUCACUGAGGUGCAUAAGGGCUCCAGCAAACGUCAGUAAAAGAACAGCUCCAGGAGGGAAGAAGAAGGGAGUUCCUGCUCCCCUUAAUGAAGAUAAACAAAAUGCUGAGCGAGUAAUAUUGAAACCUCAUAAAUUGUCACAUGGAAGCAUACAUUUACAAAUUAUCUUAUAAUUAACAUCCCUCGAUGAGAAUGGUAUUUUGAUUUAAAAAAGCAGAAAAUAUAGUUAUAUGGCUAUCUAAACAUGUAAAAUUUUGCACAUUGAAUAAAGAUAAUCUUAAAAAAGACAAAAUCUAUUACAAAAGAGCUUUUACAUUGUUUUAUUGAUAUUGAUAAUAUAAUGAUAGCUAACAUUUACUAAGCACUUACUACAUGCUAGACCUUAAGUCUUCUUCACGUAUAUUUAUAGUUCAUGUAAGCUUUACAACAGCCUCAGAAAGUAGGUACUAUUGUAAUCUCACUCAUUUAUCGAUGGGGAAACUGAGACACAGACAAGUAACUAGCCCUUUAUCACAUCUCGUUUGUGGUGGAGCCAGGAUCGAAAUGUAGACAAUUUACUUCUGAAGCUCAUUCUCUCUUGAGAGUUUAUGUGGGUUCUAAGCCAGACCUUCGGAUAGG